rnacentral:rRNA from 1 species
CCUACGGGCGGCAGCAGUGAGGAAUAUUGGUCAAUGGGCGUAAGCCUGAACCAGCCAAGCCGCGUGAGGGAUGAAGGUUCUAUGGAUCGUAAACCUCUUUUAUAAGGGAAUAAAGUGCGGGACGUGUCCCGGUCUGUGUGUACCUUAUGAAUAAGGAUCGGCUAACUCCGUGCCAGCAGCCGCGGUAAUACGGAGGAUGCGAGCGUUAUCCGGAUUUAUUGGGUUUAAAGGGUGCGCAGGCGGGAGAUCAAGUCAGCGGUAAAAUGUCGGGGCUCAACCCCGGCCGGCCGUUGAAACUGGGUGUCUAGAGUUGGAGAGAAGUAUGCGGAAUGCGUGGUGUAGCGGUGAAAUGCAUAGAUAUCGCGAAGAACUCCGAUUGCGAAGGCAGCAUACCGGCUGCAUACUGACGCUGAGGCACGAAAGCGUGGGGAUCGAACAGGAUUAGAUACCCCGGUAGUC